AACGAACGCUGGCGGCAUGCCUAACACAUGCAAGUCGAACGAGACCUUCGGGUCUAGUGGCGCACGGGUGCGUAACGCGUGGGAACCUGCCCUUAGGUUCGGAAUAACUCCCCGAAAGGGGUGCUAAUACCGGAUAAUGUCUUCGGACCAAAGAUUUAUCGCCUUUGGAUGGGCCCGCGUUGGAUUAGCUAGUUGGUAGGGUAAAAGCCUACCAAGGCGACGAUCCAUAGCUGGUCUGAGAGGAUGAUCAGCCACACUGGGACUGAGACACGGCCCAGACUCCUACGGGAGGCAGCGGUGGGGAAUAUUGGAGAAUGGGCGAAAGCCUGAUCCAGCAAUGCCGCGUGAGUGAUGAAGGCCUUAGGGUUGUCAAGCUCUUUUACCCGGGAUGAUAAUGACAGUACCGGGAGAAUAAGCUCCGGCUAACUCCGUG
rnacentral:rRNA from 1 species